GAAGAUCAGUUGGUGCGGCGCUGCCGGAAGUCGAAUGGGCGGAGCGUGGAAGAUGGCGAGGGGGGAUUGGCUAAGCCCAUUUUGCAGGUUGGGUAGGCCACUGCCCAGACCGCUGGCAAAGGCCUAGGCCUCUGGGCGGGGGAGGGGAAAUAGGUCCCGGGAGGGGGCGGGGAGGUUUGCGCCCUAGGAGUGUAGCGACUGUUUUAGGGCGGAGGCGCCCCCUGUUCCACUUUGCAGGCCCCGAAUGAAGCCGCAGUAUUUUCCUUAUAUGAUUGGGCCCCAUGGCUUGGCAGCGCUGCUGCUGGCCUGGAGCCUGAGAGGAUUAUAAUACGUGACUGGCGAGGGUCACACCCACGGCAUAUUCUAGAGGAUGAGCAGAGAGUGAUAGUAAAAUAAAACUGCCACAUUUGGGAACUGUUUGUCCAGCAUUGAAACAAGCACUUAUGAACGCCGUUUAUAAUUUUUACACUCAGGCAAUAUGAGAAUUGUACAAAACAGAAAAACAUAAUUCACAUAACAUCAGACAAAUCCAAAUUGAGGGACAUUUUGCAACUCCAUGAAAUAGGGCCACAGUUAUGGCUUGUGGAGGUUCCCAGGCUAGGGGUCUA